rnacentral:rRNA from 1 species
AGCAGCCGCGGUAAUUCCAGCUCCAAUAGCGUAUAUUAAAGUUGUUGCAGUUAAAAAGCUCGUAGUUGAAUUUUGGAUUCUGCCAGUUGGUCCAUCUUUUGAUGAGUACUGAUUGUGUGGGGUCUAUCCGCCCGGGGAGACGUAAUGUACUUUAUUGUAUGUUGCGGGUAGCCAGGACCUUUACCUUGAAAAAAUUAGAGUGUUUAAAGCAGGCUUAUGCCGGAAUACAUUAGCAUGGAAUAAUAGAAUAGGACGAAGUUGUUUUAUUUUGUUGGUUUCUAGGACAACCGUAAUGAUUAAUAGGGAUAGUUGGGGGCAUUAGUAUUCAAUUGUCAGAGGUGAAAUUCUUGGAUUUAUUGAAGACUAACUACUGCGAAAGCAUUUGCCAAGGAUGUUUUCAUUAAUCAAGAACGAAAGUUAGGGGAUCGAAGACGAUCAGAUACCGUCGUAGUCUUAACCAUAAACUAUGCCGACUAGGGAUCGGGCGAUGUUGUUUCCAUGACUCGCUCGGCACCUUAUG